rnacentral:rRNA from 1 species
GUGUCAGCAGCCGCGGUAAUACGUAGGUGGCAAGCGUUGUCCGGAAUUAUUGGGCGUAAAGAGCAUGUAGGCGGGAAUCUAAGUCUGUUGUGAAAAUGCGGGGCUCAACCCCGUAUGGCGAUGGAAACUGGAUUUCUUGAGUGCAGGAGAGGAAAGGGGAAUUCCCAGUGUAGCGGUGAAAUGCGUAGAUAUUGGGAGGAACACCAGUGGCGAAGGCGCCUUUCUGGACUGUGUCUGACGCUGAGAUGCGAAAGCCAGGGUAGCGAACGGGAUUAGAUACCCCGGUAGUCCUGGCCGUAAACGAUGGGUACUAGGUGUAGGGGGUAUCGACCCCUCCUGUGCCGGAGUUAACGCAAUAAGUACCCCGCCUGGGGAGUACGGCCGCAAGGUUGAAACUUAAAUGAAUUGACGGGG